rnacentral:tRNA from 1 species
CAGGGAAUAAUUUAAAUAAAAUACUAAUUUUGGGGAUUAAUAAUGAGGAAUAAUCUUCUUCUCUGA